rnacentral:rRNA from 1 species
UAAGCAUAUCAAUAAGCGGAGGAAAAGAAACCAACCGGGAUUGCCUCAGUAACGGCGAGUGAAGCGGCAAGAGCUCAAAUUUGAAAGCUGGCCCCUUCGGGGUCCGCGUUGUAAUUUGCAGAGGAUGCUUCGGGUGCGGCCCCUGUCUAAGUGCCCUGGAACGGGCCGUCAGAGAGGGUGAGAAUCCCGUCUUGGGCAGGGUGCCCGUGCCCGUGUGAAGCUCCUUCGACGAGUCGAGUUGUUUGGGAAUGCAGCUCUAAAUGGGUGGUAAAUUUCAUCUAAAGCUAAAUACCGGUCGGAGACCGAUAGCGCACAAGUAGAGUGAUCGAAAGAUGAAAAGCACUUUGAAAAGAGAGUUAAACAGCACGUGAAAUUGUUGAAAGGGAAGCGCUUGCGACCAGACUCGGCCCCGGGGUUCAGCCAGCACUCGUGCUGGUGUACUUCCCCGGGGGCGGGCCAGCGUCGGUUUGGGCGGCCGGUCAAAGGCCCCAGGAAUGUAUCGCCCUCCGGGGUUGUCUUAUAGCCUGGGGUGCAAUGCGGCCAGCCCGGACCGAGGAACGCGCUUCGGCACGGACGCUGGCGUAAUGGUCGCAAACGACCCGUCUUGAAACACGGACCAAGGAGUCUAACAUCUACGCGAGUGUUCGGGCGUCAAACCCGUACGCGCAGUGAAAGCGAACGGAGGUGGGAGCCCCCCCGGGGCGCACCAUCGACCGAUCCUGAUGUCUUCGGAUGGAUUUGAGUAAGAGCGUAGCUGUGGGGACCCGAAAGAUGGUGAACUAUGCCUGAAUAGGGCGAAGCCAGAGGAAACUCUGGUGGAGGCUCGCAGCGGUUCUGACGUGCAAAUCGAUCGUCAAAUUUGGGUAUAGGGGCGAAAGACUAAUCGAACCAUCUGGUAGCUGGUUCCUGCCGAAGUU